CAAAAAAUAAGCAAUGGAAAGAAAUUUUUUAAUUUAUAAGUUAACCCUAAAUCUCCUCCCACCCAUCUGCCCCUUCACUCAUCCCUUCACUGCAACUCUUGCGGCGGCUGAUUCCUUCCCGAUCGGCUGCGGCACAGGUUUCAAUUUGGCAUGAUCUCAGUGUAGUUGAAGACAACUGUAUUUGUUCACGUCUUUUCGGUAAAAUGCAGAAUGAGCGAAGUUGGAUGUAUAACAAGAAUUCAAGUAUAAUG